UGGGGAAUCUUCCGCAAUGGACGAAAGUCUGACGGAGCAACGCCGCGUGAGUGAUGACGGUCUUCGGAUUGUAAAGCUCUGUUAAUCGGGACGAAUGGUUUAUGUGCAAAUAGUGCAUAGACAUGACGGUACCGGAAUAGAAAGCCACGGCUAACUACGUGCCAGCAGCCGCGGUAAUACGUAGGUGGCAAGCGUUGUCCGGAAUUAUUGGGCGUAAAGCGCGCGCAGGCGGACUAGCCAGUCAGUCUUAAAAGUUCGGGGCUUAACCCCGUGAUGGUAUUGAAACUACUAGUCUAGAGUAUCGGAGAGGAAAGUGGAAUUCCUAGUGUAGCGGUGAAAUGCGUAGAUAUUAGGAAGAACACCAGUGGCGAAGGCGACUUUCUGGACGAACACUGACGCUGAGGCGCGCAAGCCAGGGGAGCGAACGGG
rnacentral:rRNA from 1 species